rnacentral:rRNA from 1 species
ACAUGCAAGUCGAACGGUAACAGGAAGCAGCUUGCUGCUUUGCUGACGAGUGGCGGACGGGUGAGUAAUGUCUGGGAAACUGCCUGAUGGAGGGGGAUAACUACUGGAAACGGUGGCUAAUACCGCAUAACGUCGCAAGACCAAAGAGGGGGACCUUCGGGCCUCUUGCCAUCAGAUGUGCCCAGAUGGGAUUAGCUUGUUGGUGAGGUAACGGCUCACCAAGGCGACGAUCCCUAGCUGGUCUGAGAGGAUGACCAGCCACACUGGAACUGAGACACGGUCCAGACUCCUACGGGAGGCAGCAGUGGGGAAUAUUGCACAAUGGGCGCAAGCCUGAUGCAGCCAUGCCGCGUGUAUGAAGAAGGCCUUCGGGUUGUAAAGUACUUUCAGCGGGGAGGAAGGUGUUGUGGUUAAUAACCGCAGCAAUUGACGUUACCCGCAGAAGAAGCACCGGCUAACUCCGUGCCAGCAGCCGCGGUAAUACGGAGGGUGCAAGCGUUAAUCGGAAUUACUGGGCGUAAAGCGCACGCAGGCGGUCUGUCAAGUCGGAUGUGAAAUCCCCGGGCUCAACCCGGGAACUGCAUUCGAAACUGGCAGGCUUGAGUCUUGUAGAGGGGGGUAGAAUUCCAGGUGUAGC